UACGGAGGGGGCUAGCGUUGUUCGGAAUUACUGGGCGUAAAGGGCGCGUAGGCGGCCUUCUAAGUCAGACGUGAAAUCCCCAGGCUUAACUUGGGAACUGCGUCUGAUACUGGGAGGCUUGAGUGCGGGAGAGGGAUGUGGAAUUCCCGGUGUAGUGGUGAAAUGCGUAGAUAUCGGGAGGAACACCAGUGGCGAAGGCGACUUCCUGGCCUGUUCUUGACGCUGAGGCGCGAAAGCUAGGGGAGCAAACGGG
rnacentral:rRNA from 1 species